ACUCAACUUGGUACAUAAAAUGAGAAUGUGGAUAUUGUUCUUCACUAUUAACAAAAGUAAGAGUAACAAAUCGUAUGACUUUGUAGUCAUCAGUUUUAGAAUCAAACCCAAAAGAAGCGUGGUUAAAUUCAACGUGAUCUAAAGUAAGGUAGGUUUCUUCGAAUGGGGAAAAAUAUGGAGGGCGUUGGAUUGAAGAUGGUGGAAGGAUUUUAAACUCUCUGGUUGAUGGGUUCCAAAUGGCAGCCUUAUCCUUUGAAGGAUCAAGUAAACACAACAAUCCAUGACAAGCACCAUAAACAGAGGGGCGAUCAUUCUUAAAAAAGGGCAAGUGAAUGUUUUGUUUUACUAUAUAAUUUUGAUAUUUUUCAUUUGAAAGUUGAGAGAAAUAACGUUGGAAGGUGUUACCAUCACAGCGACUAAGCAGUAGAUUAAGGUUGUUGUUUUCAAGGUUGUUGUGAUAAUUAUUGGAAAUGAAAUGAGGAGUUUGAAAAGAAGAACACCAAUACUUACAAACACAGUUGAAGCGAGUAAGGGAUUUAACUGGCAGCUUUGACAGAAUUUCCAUAACCAAAGCUUCUGGCAAUUCAAACCUUGGCCUCUGCAUCUUGCUAUUUUGAUUUUCUUUGUAAUUGGGUAAGAGGAAUGAAUAAAAUGGGAGUUGGUAGGUGUCAUCUAUGGUCCAAACCUUAACCAGGAAGCAAAGAAGCAUAAAAGGUAAGCAUUUGAUAGGUUAUAAUAAUUAUAUGGAAUUUAGGAAAAUUUACUUAUUUGCAUUUGUAUCCAUGUGAGGAAGGAUUAAGAUCAAAUAUAAUAUAAUACGUACUUUUUGAAUUUAAUCCCCAAUUUUUAAAAGAAUAAAUUUAAAGGAUAUCACAUUUAUUUACUUUUUGUAUAUUUGAAAUUUAAUACUUAAUUUUUAUUUUAAAGAAUUCAAUCUCUCUAUUUUUUAAAAGCCAAAAACAGUGAUGUAGUUUUUUUUUUCACACGGCAAUCAAAAAAAAAAAUUUAAAGGUAGUUUUUUUUUCUCGUUUCUGCUCUUUUUCUUUUUUUCGUCUGUUCUAUUUUACUUGCGUUUUUUUUUUUGAGUUUUUUCUUUUCUUCUUUCGACAUACAUAUAUCUACAUUUUUUUAAAAAAAAGAACAGUUUAUAUAUAUACAUACACAAAAAAAUAAAAAUAAAAAAACUCACCUUUGAACUUUCCGGACUCGGCUACGUCGGCCGGUGCGGCGGAGACAAGGCGGCCCUUUGGCCGGAAUCUGGAUUUCAUCCAGAGAAAAGAGACCCCCUUUUCCCUUUUUUUGGUUUCUUUACAGACUGCCGGGAAUGAUUUCUUUUCCUCAAAAGUUGUCUUUUAUAGCCCCCCCCCCAACACCCCAGCAAAACGAUGUCGUUUUGGUUGGCGUACUUGAGCAAGAAACGACGUCGUUUUGGCCUUAGGAUCCGCUUGUGACCCGACCCGCAAAGAGGAUCCGCGUGUCACCAUUUAGGGGGAUAUCUUCACAAUUGGUGCCUCCACUUUUGUCUCGCUUUCAAUGUAGUUUUUUCAUAUAUUUUUAAUUUUGGCUACAUAAUUUUUCGUCUGUUUUAAUUUGGUCCCCAGACCAUGCACACGCGCCUCACUAGAACGAUGCCGUUUGGUCAGUUAGGGAGUAUUUCCGUUUUUGCUCCUCUUCCUUUCACGCGUGUUGUGAUUUAGUCCUUUUUGUGCUUUUUAUUGUUAAUUUCGACCCUAAAACCUUGUUUAUUUUCAAUUUAAUCCUUAAUCUGCUAUUUUAGUUAUUUUUCCUGUUAAAUUAAUUAUUUUAACAUUAUUAAAACUAUUAUAUUGCAUAAUUAUUAUUUAUUAUUAAUAUUAUUAUCCUUAUCUCGUUUGUACCUUUUUAUUCUAAAAUUUUGUUAUAUAUAUAUAUACAUAUCCGCAUAUGCUUUUCUAAUAUAUAUAUGUAUAUUUUUAAGGUUAUUAUAAAUAUACUUUUAUAUUUCAUUUUUUAUACUUAUAUCUAUAUCCACGUAUUUUAAUUUAUAUACAUAUAGAUUUUAUAUAUACUUAUUAUAAUUUUUUUAUUGUCAUAAAUACAUACACAUGUACACAUACUUUUAUAUGUUCUUCUAUAUUCCAUAAUUCUUAUAUACAUCCAUAUACAUAUGUAUAUUUUAAUCUACAUACAUAUAUGUAUAUAUACACAUACGACAUAUAUUUCUAUUUUAUAAUUUUAAAAUAAAUAUAUAUAUAUCUAUAUAUUCUUCUUAUUUUUAUAUACACAUGCAUAUAUUUUAUAUUUCCUUUAUUGUUUCGUUGUUUCGCGUAAUGUCAACCUUUUUAUGCCUAUUUUAUUUUAAAAGCAUUUUAAUUCGACUCUUUUAUUUACUAUUUAUCUUACAUUAAUUAAUUUGUCUCUGUAUUUAUUUUGCUACGUACAAAAUCGUGCUACAUUUUACCCGAUUCAUUAAAAAUGAUGUUUUAAACAAGCAAUAUUCAUAUUUUGAAAUUCGAAAAGUCGUUCCCUAACUUACGGGGUUUCGACUUUCUAAAAAAAAUCCAAAUACCGAACAUUUUUAAGCAUAAAUUUUAAAUAAUCUCAAGAAUUACUAAAAGAUCGUGUUCUAACUUAGGGAAUAUGAUUUUUUUCUAAAACCGAUAUAGUCAAACAUCUUUUAAAAUAAAUUUUUCGGCGUUUAUUUGUGCAUCAAGAAUUUAAGACAUUGUGUCCUAAUUCACGGGACGCGAUUCAUUUUCUCGAUUAACGUAAAAUAUGUCCAUUUGUCAACUUUUUAAUAUUUUAACAAGGGAUCGUAUUUUAAAUCUCUUUAAAGUUUUCAAUUUUUGACGAGACACUAAUUAAUCAACUAAGUACCAAUUUUGGGCGCGGGGGUGCUAAUUAGAGGUGAUCAUGGGUUGGGCAGUCCGGCCCGGCCCGAUGGCCCACCCAAAAUAUGAGAGGGUUUGGGUAAAAAUAUAGGCCCGAAAUAUGGGUUUGGGCAAAAAAUGAGGCCCGUUGGCAAAACUUUUUUGGUCCAGGCCUGGCCCGAAUAUAUAAUAAAUAUAUAUUUUUAUUUUUAAAAUACAUUUUCCAUUUCCCCAUUUCCCCAUUUCCCAUUAGACAUUUAGUAUUUAUAUAAUAAAUAUAUAUUUUUUAUUUUUUAAUUUUAAAGUAUUUUUAAAAUACUUCUUUUAUUUUUUAUUUUUAAGAUACAAUUUUGUUGUUUAUUAAAAAAAGGGUCGGGCUCGGGCUUAGGAUUUUUUCUCGGGCCAGGCUUGGACAAAAUUUCAGGCCCAUAUUUUGGGCUAGGCCGGGCCCAGGCCUAGGACGCGGGCCAAAAAAAAAUUUAGGCCUGGCCCAGCCCAUGAUCACCUUUAGUGCUAAUCCUUCCUUGUACGUAACCGACGCCCGAACUCGUGCUUAUGUGGCACGGCACAUAGGCUACUUUGUUGACCUAUGGUUUGACCGACGAUCAACUCACAUUUUCUGUUAAAAUUGGGCUAAUUUAUUAAAAAAUUGUACCGUUAACGGUGUCAAUCCAAAAAAAAAAAGGUUAAUGGCUCAAACCCAAAAACUCAAAAAAUUGAGUGUUUUUUCGACAAUUAUGCGAAAUUCUUUGUUAAAUUUGUUGGUUUGAUAUUCUUUCAAAAGUACAUUAUAAUGCCUUUUUUUUUAACCCAAACCCAAACUUUUGAAAUCAAAUACUAUUUUGAGAGGGAAAAUAUUUGAUUUUUUUUUUUGUUCAAUUGCUUGAAUCUGGUUGGAUAGUUUCUAUUUUCGUUUUAUUAAAUUUCCUUUUUCUCUGUUUGAAGGCGACUUUAAAGAAAAGAGUAACAUGCGAAGGAAUUGCAUUGGACUUUGCAAAGAUCAUAAAACACACAUUAAAAAUAUGUAUUAUUAGUUCUGUUGGACUUAAAGAUUUUGGGUUGUAACACUAGUAGAAAUUAUAUAAAGAAAGAUAUUGAAUGUUAUGGGAUUGGGUUUGGGUUAUUUUAAAUCUAUAUUCAGAUUAAUGUUAUUUUAAAAUCGAAUAAUUUUGAGUUUAAAUCAUUCAAAGUUGUUGAUCGGAUUUUAUAAAGAUAAAAAAACAUAUUGAAAAUAUGUAAUAUUAAUUGGAUUAUUUUAAACUAUGACAUAAAUACUUGAGUCUCAAAAUAAACACUAGCUCAAUAAAACGCAUAUGAUAAUUUAGAGUACUGUAAUAAAAUACAUAUUGAUAAUUCAGAUAUUACAUUAAACAUUUUUAAACAUACAUGAGACAAUUGUGGUAAAGCUGGCUAUGGUAAUUUUAUGGUAUCGGAUCCAUUACUGCAUAGGCCGUAAAAUAAGUUGGAACAAUUUUGGGGAGUUCCAAAGGUAUGGGAUGGCCCCGGUCUUCCAUAACAAAUAAACAUCUCCCCGAGUAGUAGAACUCUAGUUCUUCUGUGUUUACUGCAUGAAAUUUGUGGAGAUGCUCCUAUAAGUCGGAAAACUAUGUCCGCAACUUGUCGGACCGUAUAGGUGGAUCUAGGUGUGAGUCCCAUAGCUAAAUCCCAAAAUUCAUUAAAACAAAUAAGAGACAAUAAAGUAUAUUAAACACAAAUCUGAAUGUGAAGAAAAAAUAAAAACAAUUUAUUCGAUAUACCCGGAUCUAAAUUUGUCCUAAGUUGUAUGGCCGAUUGGAAGUAUGCCAGAGGAUAUGGUGCAAAGUCGGAACAUGUGCCAUGUUUUGUCCAUUCGUUGUGCAAAAAGCUAAUGUCUAACUUUCCCAAUAUCAAGUUUGGCCAUAGUCGGGGCAAGUCUACCCAAAGAACUGGAUCACUUUUCAGCAAACUCUUUGAAAUUAAAAACAAAAAUCUGGUUAGAUGACAGAUAAUUUACUUAAUAGUUUUAGGCGAAGAAUGUACGUAUGCGUACUUCGAGUUUCUUCUUAUCUAGAUUAGGAUUCGGAUUGUUGCAAAGAUUACUUGGACCAUACUGGGUCACCGGCUUGUCAUUAGCAUCUUGUGCCCAAAUUCCAUGUAUUGUAAAUUCUGUUGGGAUAGGGGUUUUACAUCUCGAAGUAGAGCUGCAAACUGAUGGAGGCCAUUGAAGUGCCAGCUUGUAGAAGUGCGGAAUUGCUGGUUGCUGAGGUACUGCAAAUGCUACCCAUAAUGAAAAAUUGAUACAAUGCAUUUUUACAAAUUUACAAAUAAAAAGAGAACUACUCCAUAUAUAAAUAUUACAUGCAUGGAUGAUUGGGCUGAGAUUGGAUGAUUGUGCUUUGCGAGUAGCUGGUUUAUGAUCUCCUUUAUAAUCUUGGCGCACAUAUUUCACAAAAUUUUCAAAGUCCUGCAACCAUGAAAUAAAUAUUGAGGUUACUUAUCACAAAGUGUUACUUCACAAUCACACCAAGAGAGAAAUAAACAAACUCACUUGUCUGAGUGGCUGAUUAUUCACCACCACCCAUGGCACAUCUUCUUGAGGUGGCUUCAGAUGUGCAGUCUCGUUAGCAUAUUGCAGCAGAAGCUGCAUUUCAUUAAUUUGGAAAAUCAAUGUUAGAAAAAGCUAAGAAGUGUUAAUUAAAUACUAAGACAUGCAGCCAACCUUAUAUCCAAAUCCAGUAGUAUAGCAUUUGUUGAUUAUCUCCUCAUUCAAUCUCAGCUUUUCACUGCAAUUUUUCCACAGUGCUUCAACGGGCCCCCCCUUUAAGCUUUGUUGCUCUGUGCAGCGAAUGAAUUCCAAGUGCUCUUUCUGCACCACAGUAGAGUAAUUAAACACGAGUUGGAGAUGAGUACAAAUACUUAUGGCUCAUAGCAGUUACUGCAUCAGGCCAUAAAUGGAUGACACAACUAUGUAUAGUGUUUAAGUGACGUUCUUCUUCUCCAUGUUGCACAUUAUCGCAAAAACUAUAAUUAGUUAUAACACCAAAAAGAACUAGAACUUCAUUAGUUAAUAAUGAUAAUACAUUAAAAUGAAGAACGGAGUAGUAAACCUGGCAAUGGAUUUCAGCAUUGCCCCAAGGGACCAAUCUUAGAUUGGUAAUGGUAUGGAGGUCAGUGCGGAAGACCUUGACUAGGCUAUUGGAGAUAAGCGAGAAUAUUGCAAGAGCAGCCAGAAUAUAGAAGAUUAAUGGUUGAAGAUAAGCCAUUGUUUCAGUGGUAGCUUUUGCACAAUGCUAGACCUCCAUUGUGCAAGGCUUCUUAUAGUUGAGAAUUGGGAUGCUGAGUAUUGCUUUCUGUCACGUUCAGAAACCAUGAGACAAAUUUACAAAGUUAUCAUCUUUAAAAAAACAAUUAUACACCACUUUAAAAAAAAAUUAUUUACAUGAAAGCUUGUUUAUCUAUUUAUGUAUGAAUAUUGUCUAAACAUGAAAGGAGAAAUCUUAUUAGAUAAUAGAGUUUUAUAAUAACUUAUAAUUUAAAUUAAGUUAUUAACGUAUUUACUGAAUCAUUGGCCUUCUAAAAUGCUUUUAGAUAUCAAAUCCUCUUCGACUUGCAAUUUUUUUCUGCAGAAAACAAUAUCAACAUCUAAGCAAUCUUAUAGAUAUCUAAGCAACAAAAACCAAACAUAAACUGAACAAUUCUCCAAAUACAGAAACCAGGAAAUAGUUAACAUCUCAAACAUAUAACCCAAACAAUUAUAGCAAUAUUAAGAAGCUCACAACAAAAAAUUCCUAUUACAUCUUACACAUAUAUGUUCCAGCUCCACAUCCCUCUUCAUAUUCAGUAUCCAUUUCAUGCCUUCUUCAUAUUUAGUAUUCAUUUGAUGCAUCUCUCGCUGGUUGACGUAUUACAUGUUUCUCAAUAUUCUCUUGUAUUCCAUUGAUACGAACCAGGCUCUCUAAAUAAGCAUGAAGGGAGAUGGUGAACCGAAAAUGAUCUAGGUAAGUAUUAAUCUCAAGCUCCUUAAGCUCUUGGGUGGAGGCGUCAAAUAGGAGUACUUCAUCAUUUGUGUCUGUAAGAAACAAGUCACCAUUUUUUCCAAAUCCCAAUGGGUGUACAACUCCAGAAAUGGAUUGUUUAGUCCACACUCCUUCACUUGUAACCCAUAAAUCAAAAGACGUGUCAAUUCUUUCCGUUGGGUAAACAAUAGCACCAAGUGAUCCAUUAAACACCAACAGAUUAACAUAGUAUUCUGGGAAAGACCCAACGAAUUCUGGGAUAGGUAAAAUUGAGAACUUCUCAUUCCCCAUGUCAAAUGAAAGAAUUAGUCCUCUAAAAUCAAGAUAUGCCCGUCUCUGUUUUCAUAUAGCAAAUUCCGUCUACAUAAUUAUUUCCCAAAGUUGUUCCAGUUGGUUUAUAAUCAGGACAUGGAAUUUCCUUCCAGGAAUUACUUCUAAGAGAAUACAACUCAACUUGGUACAUAAAAUGAGAAUGUGGAUAUUGUUCUUCACUAUUAACAAAAGUAAGAGUAACAAAUCGUAUGACUUUGUAGUCAUCAGUUUUAGAAUCAAACCCAAAAGAAGCGUGGUUAAAUUCAACGUGAUCUAAAGUAAGGUAGGUUUCUUCGAAUGGGGAAAAAUAUGGAGGGCGUUGGAUUGAAGAUGGUGGAAGGAUUUUAAACUCUCUGGUUGAUGGGUUCCAAAUGGCAGCCUUAUCCUUUGAAGGAUCAAGUAAACACAACAAUCCAUGACAAGCACCAUAAACAGAGGGGCGAUCAUUCUUAAAAAAGGGCAAGUGAAUGUUUUGUUUUACUAUAUAAUUUUGAUAUUUUUCAUUUGAAAGUUGAGAGAAAUAACGUUGGAAGGUGUUACCAUCACAGCGACUAAGCAGUAGAUUAAGGUUGUUGUUUUCAAGGUUGUUGUGAUAAUUAUUGGAAAUGAAAUGAGGAGUUUGAAAAGAAGAACACCAAUACUUACAAACACAGUUGAAGCGAGUAAGGGAUUUAACUGGAAGCUUUGACAGAAUUCCCAUAACCAAAGCUUCUGGCAAUUCAAAUCUUGGCCUCUGCAUCUUGCUAUUUUGAUUUUCUUUGUAAUUGGGUAAGAGGAAUGAAUAAGCAAGCAAAAUGGGAGUUGGUAUGGUCCAAACCUUAACCAGGAAGCAAAGAAGCAUAAAAGGUAAGCAUUUGAUAGGUUAUAAAAAUUAUAUGGAAUUUAGGAAAAUUUACUUAUUUGCAUUUGUAUCCAUGUGAGGAAGGAUUAAGAUCAAAUAUAAUAUAAUACAUACUUUUUGAAUUUAAUCCCCAAUUUUUAAAAGAUUAAAUUUAAAGGAUAUCAC
rnacentral:lncRNA from 1 species